UACGUAGGGGGCGAGCGUUAUCCGGAUUCACUGGGUGUAAAGGGAGCGUAGACGGCCAUGCAAGCCAGGGGUGAAAACCCGGGGCCCAACCCCGGGACUGCCCUUGGAACUGCAUGGCUGGAGUGCGGGAGGGGCAGGCGGAAUUCCUGGUGUAGCGGUGAAAUGCGUAGAUAUCAGGAGGAACACCGGCGGCGAAGGCGGCCUGCUGGACUGCGACUGACGUUGAGGCUCGAAAGCGUGGGGAGCGAACAGG
rnacentral:rRNA from 1 species